UACAGAGGUCUCAAGCGUUGUUCGGAUUCAUUGGGCGUAAAGGGUGCGUAGGUGGCGCUGUAAGUCGGGUGUGAAAUUUCGGAGCUUAACUCCGAAACUGCAUUCGAUACUGCGGUGCUUGAGGACUGGAGAGGAGACUGGAAUUCAUGGUGUAGCAGUGAAAUGCGUAGAGAUCAUGAGGAAGACCAGUAGCGAAGGCGGGUCUCUGGACAGUUCCUGACACUGAGGCACGAAGGCCAGGGGAGCAAACGGG
rnacentral:rRNA from 1 species